rnacentral:rRNA from 1 species
CCUACGGGAGGCAGCAGUGAGGAAUUUUCCGCAAUGGGCGAAAGCCUGACGGAGCAAUACCGCGUGAGGGAUGAAGGAUUUUGGUCUGUAAACCUCUUUUCUCAAGAAAGAAGUUCUGACGGUACUUGAGGAAUAAGCAUCGGCUAACUCCGUGCCAGCAGCCGCGGUAAUACGGGGGAUGCAAGCGUUAUCCGGAAUGAUUGGGCGUAAAGCGCCUGUAGGUUGUUUAUUAAGUCCGUUGUUAAAGCCUAGGGCUUAACCCUAGAAAAGCAAUGGAAACUAGUAGACUAGAGUAUGGCAGGGGUAGAGGGAAUUUCUAGUGUAGCGGUGAAAUGCGUAGAUAUUAGAAAGAACACCGGUGGCGAAAGCGCUCUACUGGACCAUUACUGACACUCAGAGGCGAAAGCUAGGGUAGCAAAAGGGAUUAGAUACCCCUGUAGUCCUAGCCGUAAACGAUGGAUACUAGAUGUUGUGCAUUAUGUACAGUAUCGUAGCUAACGCGUUAAGUAUCCCGCCUGGGGAGUACGCUCGCAAGGGUGAAACUCAAAGGAAUUGACGG